AUUCCAGCUCCAGUAGCGUAUAUUAAAGUUGUUGCGGUUAAAAAGCUCGUAGUUGGAUUUCUGAUAGUAGCGUUGGGCCCGCCCGGGUUACCGGUGUGAGUGCCUGUUCGCUCCUUUCAUCCUUCUAGAGAACGGUUCUCUCCUUCAUUGGCAGUGGGAUCGCAAUCUAGAUCUUUUACUUUGAAAAAAUUAGAGUGUUUAAAGCAGGCUUGUGCUAUGAAUACAUUAGCAUGGAAUAAUAAUUUAGGACUUUAGUUCUAUUUUGUUGGUUUCUAGAACUGAAGUAAUGAUUGAUAGGGAUAGUUGGGGGUGCUAGUAUUCAGCGGCCAGAGGUGAAAUUCUUGGAUUCGCUGAAGACUAACUUAUGCGAAAGCAUUCACCAAGGAUGUCUUCAUUA
rnacentral:rRNA from 1 species